rnacentral:rRNA from 1 species
UGGAAGGUUGGCAAUGGCAAGAGUAUUAGGUUUUGGGAAGACCAGUGGACAGGCAAUACUACUCUUGCCACCAGCUUUUGGGAGAUGUACAAUAUUGCUAAUUCCACUAACGUUUCUAUCAGUCAGGUCUGGGAUGGUAUGAACCUGAAAAUCAACUUCAGGAGGUGCUUCUCGCCGGAUAUGCUUGCGGCUUGGAAUGAGCUUUUUAGUUUAGUUAAGGAUCUGGUGUUGAAUGAUAGUGACGACACUAUUAUUUGGGACUUGGAGUCCAAAGGGAUUUACAUAGUUAAAUCCUUUUAUAAUUUUGUGAAUUUUAGGGGAUUGCUUCCAGAUAACAUUACUAUGAUUUGGAAAGCCAAUGUCCCUCAAAAGUACAGAUUUUCCUUUGGUUGCUAG